CUGAUUGUGAAAAUAGGUACAAGAAAAUAUGAGAAUCCAACUAGAAUCCAACUAAACCCAUCUAACCAGAUGAUACUGGGCAGAAAACUGGCCUGAAGACCUCAACAAUGGGAAUUCCUGCGGUCUACACUUUGAAGGGGCAAUGUGGUCUCUUGUGACCCAUUGUGGCUGUGCAGUAGAACACUUCACAAGCCGAUGAGGGCAAGUAGAGCCCCCCCCCCAGGAGGAGGAGAUGAAUUUUCAACAUCAGCUGCAGCAAAAGACUGACAGUUUUCAGAUGUGCUGAGCUACAUAUCUUACAAUUUAAUGACAGGAAUCAAGGGAUUUGCAGUGCAACGUGUCCAAGAACUGCCAGACAGAGAAGGUCGUCCUAAAACAUGGGCCCUAAAAAUUAAGUUUGGUCACUGAUCUAUGUCUCUUUUUCCCACAUGUAUGACCUCCACUCACUCUUUAAACUUCAUGGAUUGUUUGUAUGAGCUAGAAAAGAUGCAUAACAAACAAUGUGUUCAUUCUGGUUAAAAGACACUGAUCCACUUCAGUACUGAAGUGCAGCAAUAAAGGCUAUAAAUACUGGUUGGUGGAUCAAGAACAUUCUUCUUCACUAUGUAAUAAUUUCAUCUUUCUCCAAGAGUGAUUAACAAAGCACAAAGGAGGAAAUGCCAUAUCUCCACCCACCAUCUCCCGUUGCUUGAUGUCAGAGGUUACAAAUUAACAUGCAUGCCGUGAACACGAAUGGCGAUGUUUUCUUAUGAAGGUAUA